rnacentral:lncRNA from 1 species
CUAUAUGAUUCUAAUUCAACCAGUAGCUUAGAUGCACAUUCAAAUGACUUGGCAUGUUUCUCUUCCAUCAAACCAUUUUCACAUGAUGUUGCACGCUUAAACAGAGAUUUGACUUCCGUCUUCAUGUUCUUACACGUACAUCAAUCUAAUAUCCAAAUUCAAAAAAAAAUAAAUUCUUAUCUUGCUCAAAUAACAAGGUUUUUAUGUAUCAAUGUAUAAUUCAUGAAAAAAUGAUGACUUACAUUUGACUCAUAAUUACACAGAAUAAUGCAUACAAAUUUGACUAUAUAACUGACAUACCUAUAAAGCUCCUCUGCUAAUGAGUAUUUAUCUUGUUGCAAGUAGACCCAGGCCAAGUUCCCUAGCAACAUGCGUCAUAGAAUCAUGAAAAAUAAGACAUAUUCUAUAAUAAAGAACUCAUAUUAAAAUGAGUUAUAUAUUGCAUAAAUUCAUAAAUGAGAGAGUUAUUAAAACACUAUGAUCGAUAGUUAUAUAUAUAUAUUUCUUAUCUUCCUUUAAUCUCUUUUAUAUAUUUUUAUCUUUUAUAGUUAUAUUUUUUGGAAGUUAUAAGUAAAAAUAUAAAAAGACAUAAUUAUUGUUAAAUUCUACACUGUGCACACCAAAUAGUUUGAAUUCACAAGACUAUAAGAAAAUUUGAGUGACAAACUUACUUGUGCUUUUAUAAUAUACCAAGAACAACCUCACCACGAAGUGUACUGCAAUGAAAUAAUAUAGAUCAAUAACAAAAUCAAUUCAAAUAUAUUAUAAUAAAAGAAACUUAUACAAGUUUUUGUUUCGUGCACAAGAAUAUAGAUCUUUCUUGAAACAUAUCGAAUUUGAUGACAUAACUUUAAGAAAUUAAUUAUAUAAAAUAAAUGCACUCUAAUGAAAUCUACAAAUUCAAUUGGAAUAACUUUAAGGUAAUUUAAUCACCGUAAACAUCUAGAGAAAGUAAGCAACAUAUUUUAGACGUACUAGAAAAUUUGUAGAUCUAAUAAUCGUAGAUCUAAUUAAAAUCUAAUUAUACUAAGAUAUCUUUUAAACAAAUGAAAAAGUUAUAUAACAUUGAAAAUUAUUUAAAAAUAAUGAUAGAUCUAACAAUAUUAAAUUGAUCCUCAAUAAAUAAUUAAAAGAGAUUUCAUCAGUAUAGAGGAAGUAAAAGAUCUAAGCAGUUAAACGAAUAUAUAAAUGAUUGUAAUAUAUAAACCUGAUGAUUGAGUUUAAAAUCAUCUUCAUCAUUUGAUUCAUCAUCAUUAGUAUCUCUCAUAUCAUUUAUGCUGACUCCAGAAAUAAUCAUCUCGAGUUUAAGAAGAA